ACCGGCGCACGGGUGCGUAACGCGUAUAGACCUACCUUAUACUGGAGGAUAGCCUUUAGAAAUGAAGAUUAAUACUCCAUAGUAUUGCAUAAUUAAAGAUUUAUUGGUAUAAGAUGGCUAUGCGUUCUAUUAGUUAGUUGGUAAGGUAACGGCUUACCAAGACAGCGAUAGAUAGGGGUCCUGAGAGGGAGAUCCCCCACACUGGUACUGAGACACGGACCAGACUCCUACGGGAGGCAGCAGUGAGGAAUAUUGGUCAAUGGAGGCAACUCUGAACCAGCCAUGCCGCGUGAAGGAUGACUGCCUAUGGGUUGUAAACUUCUUUUAUAUGGGAAGAAACCUGAUUACGUGUAAUCAGCUGACGGUACCAUACGAAUAAGGACCGGCUAACUCCGUGCCAGCAGCCGCGGUAAUACGGAGGGUCCAAGCGUUAUCCGGAGUCAUUGGGUUUAAAGGGUCCGUAGGCGGAUUUGUAAGUCAGAGGUGAAAUCCAAUCGCUCAACGAUUGAACUGCCUUUGAUACUGCAAGUCUUGAAUUAUUGUGAAGUUGUUAGAAUAAGUAGUGUAGCGGUGAAAUGCUUAGAGAUUACUUAGAAUACCGAUUGCGAAGGCAGAUGACUAACAAUAUAUUGACGCUGAGGGACGAAAGCGUGGGGAGCGAACAGGAUUAGAUACCCUGGUAGUCCACGCCGA
rnacentral:rRNA from 1 species